GGAUUGACACAUCGGUCGUGCCUUAAGGGGUAUGAACUGGUGUAGUCAAUUUCUCACCUUCUGGAGAACCGCAAUGCCCUUAAUUGGGUGUCGCGGGGAACCAGGACUUUUACUUUGAAAAAAUUAGAGUGUUUAAAGCAGGCGUUAGCUUGAAUACAUUAGCAUGGAAUAAUAGAAUAGGACUUUGGUUCUAUUUUGUUGGUUUCUAGGACCGAAGUA
rnacentral:rRNA from 1 species